AGCGAACGCUGGCGGCAGGCCUAACACAUGCAAGUCGAACGGACCCUUCGGGGUUAGUGGCGGACGGGUGAGUAACACGUGGGAACGUGCCUUUAGGUUCGGAAUAGCUCCUGGAAACGGGUGGUAAUGCCGAAUGUGCCCUUCGGGGGAAAGAUUUAUCGCCUUUAGAGCGGCCCGCGUCUGAUUAGCUAGUUGGUGAGGUAAUGGCUCACCAAGGCUACGAUCAGUAGCUGGUCUGAGAGGAUGACCAGCCACACUGGGACUGAGACACGGCCCAGACUCCUACGGGAGGCAGCAGUGGGGAAUCUUGCGCAAUGGGCGAAAGCCUGACGCAGCCAUGCCGCGUGAAUGAUGAAGGUCUUAGGAUUGUAAAAUUCCUUCACCGGGGACGAUAAUGACGGUACCCGGAGAAGAAGCCCCGGCUAACUUCGUGCCAGUCGCCGCUGUAA
rnacentral:rRNA from 1 species